AGCCCCUACCUACUUGCCAGUCCUCCAGGACCCUGGCCCAAGACGCGCCUCCUGGAGGCCUCGAGUGUCCCAAAGCCGGCCCCUUCGGCCAUGGGGAGCCCCAGCCUCCAGCAACCGACCAGCUGCUGUCGCCAGGGGGCAAUGGCAGCAGACUUUCAAUAUCUGUUCAAGAGCAAUGUCAAUUGUAACGAUCGGCUGAUUAUCUGGAAAUGGCAUUUAGACCUCGGCUUUAUUGUGCAUCCCCACACACACGUUGGUUUCUAAUUAGAUGUAUUGGUGACAAAGAAAAA